rnacentral:rRNA from 1 species
CCUACGGGUGGCAGCAGUGAGGAAUAUUGGUCAAUGGCCGGAAGGCUGAACCAGCCAUGCCGCGUGAAGGUCAGUGCCCUAUGGGCGUUAAACUUCUUUUGUGCGGGAGCAAUAAUGGUCACGUGUGGCCAGACGAGAGUACCGUACGAAUAAGCAUCGGCCAAAUCCGUGCCAGCAGCCGCGGGAAUACGGGGGAUGCCAGCCUUAUCCGGAUUUAAUGGGUUUAAAGGGUGCGUAGGGUGGGAGGUAAGUCAGCGGUGAAAUGCCCCCGGUCAACGGGGUGAAGUGCCAUUGAUACUGGCUUGCUCGAGUGCGGAUGCCGUAGGAGGAAUGUGUGGUGUAGCGGUGAAAUGCAUAGAUAUCACACAGAACACCGAUUGCGAAGGCAUCUCACGAAUCCGCGAUUGACGCUGAUGCACGAAAGCGUGGGUAUCAAACAGGAUUAGAUACCCGUGUAGUC